UGUUAUGAAUUUUAUUCAACAUUCCCUUACACCUAAGAUUUACAAGCAACAGCAGAUUAAUGCCUAGAAAAAUCUUAACAUUAAAAAAAAUAAGUGUUUGACACUUUGAAUAUAAACCUAGUACUUAUUAUGCUAGAAGUGACAAGUAAAAAAUGUCUAAGUAAAAUAGCAACAGACUAGCUACGGUGAUUGCUUUUAUGUUUAACAUAAAACAUUUUGUCCCUUACUUGCACGUAUUGUAUAUGAGAGAGGAACAAAUGUUUUGUGUUGAACAUUAAAUACAAUCAUGCUACAAAGCAAGACCAUUCGCACGAGAGCUUUUUCAACGCGCGUUAAAAAAGCGCUUGAAUCCGUCCACACGCUAAACUCGGUUUAACGACCAACGCUUAAAGUCGAAAAUCCAACAACGGUUGAUAAAAAGCGCCACCGCCAUCGUGUGAACAAAUACACAUGUUUCCAUUUGUGUCAUUCAAACGCUUUUUUAACGCGCGUUGAAAAAGCGCUCGUGCGAAUGAGGGCUUAAUCACAAUACGUACUGUCUAGGAGUUUGAUUUUCGUGUCUUCGUACCUUGUGACAGUGCCAUUCAUAUAAGAUCACAUUGAUUGUCACUGUGGCCUGAGGGCCUACCGCGAACCACGUACGACGUGUUGCCUCUCUGUCGCACUUGUAAAUUCGUUCGUAAGUGUGACAGGGAGGCAAUCUUUGAUAGAAAACAGCAAUCGAAAGUUAAAUAAUGUAUGGAAAUAGUUACGUGACAUUUUGUAGCAUCUGGCAACUUGAUACAUUUUUUUCCUUUCGUUUGAUGUUUGUCAUAUUGACUAGGCCCCCAGAUAUGAAGUGGCAAAGAAAUCAAAUUCCUUGAUUGUACCAAGCGGGUCGCCUUUGGCGAACUAGAUUAGCUAUUGAGGACCACCCCACACUAGCGUCUUUGAGCGUCGGGCCCUAACCAGCGCUAUGGAAAAUGGCGUCGCUGCGCAGUAGCGCCAACGUUGCGUCGAGCAGCAGCCAUAGAGUUGACGCCGACGCUUGGGAAACGCUAGUGUGUGGUGGCCCUAAAUUUCCGACAUAAGGCAUUCGUCCCUUACUACCAAAUAUGUUAGUGCGAGCGAUGACUGCUAGAAUCGGUAGGACCGAAACUCACUUUGUAAGUUUGUAUUUCCUCACAAACAACUUCAAAAACGAAGUUAGUAAACUUUUACAUAUUGAUUUUCUGUAUUUCAUACUUCAAAUUUCAUCUGAAAGGCUAUUAAACUUAUUGUUAGUAAGCAACAUGGUCAAAAUAAUGUGUAUAGGUACAACCAAUAUGUUACAUAGAUUGAUUGAAUUCCCUGUCGUGACCGACAUAUUUCUUUACUUUACACGACACAAACUGACACAGAAAUCAAAUUCAUUAACUGUACAGUCAGCACGAGAGAGAUAUACACAAGACUGGGUAGAUUUAAAGCACAUUGAAAAAUAUGGCCUGCCCUUAAGGCCGGGUUCCACCAGUGUGCGGCACAAGCGUAUUCAGUUCAAAAAUGAAUCCCGCCUUAAAGCAUAAUAUUCUUAUUUAUUUAUUUGUACAUUUUAAUUUACCAGUUAUAAUUUUAAUAACAAAACUUCCGUGAGACACAGAGAUAUUAAAUAUAUUAAGAUGGCAUUUCUAUUUAAAGUUGUACCCCCCCCCCCCCCCCCCCCAACUUGCAUUCUAGAUUUUGGAAUUUUUACUUUUUCCACUCAGAAUCACGAGUUCUUUCGAUCCUAAUACGAGAAGUGUCCUCAAAAUUUCAUACAAUCUUUUUUUGUCCGUUUUGUUGCGGUCAUAGAAGGUUGUAUUGAAAACCGUAACCAAACGGACCAAAAAUUGUAGGGACACUUGUAUCUCAGUAAAAAUGGAAAAAGCUCGUGAUUCUGAGUAGAAAUAAUAUAAAAAUUCCUAAUUCUAACACAAAAUUUUUUGCUACGACUUUAAAUAUAACACCCAAGAAAGGGCCACUCACGUAUUCAUCAGUCAGUCAUUAUUUCUCCCGAAAAAUAUAUUAUUACAAUAAUCUGACACAAAUAAUUAUGUACUUAUAAGUUAUUUAUUAUAUUUUUAGAAGUACGAAUGGCACGAUUGAUGGUGCGUCGCGCACUAAUUUGGUGAAAUGCGGCAAAUAUCGAUUAGAAACGUUGUAAUUAAAUUCAUACAUACAAUAGACUAGGUUCGCAUACCACAAUCUUGAUAGCAAAAUCAAUCUAUAACACCUAAAUGGGGUUGGCAACUGAACAUUUAAAAUCUAAUUAUUUUGCUAAAACUAAAAUUACAAGACACGGAAUUAAAAUAUUUUUCUCGAAACAAUAGAUGCCUAUUCGUUUUAUCUUAUAGAAAAAGGCCUAUAGGAUUAGCCCUUUAAUUAAAAUUACAUACAACUGAUAUGUAACUAAAUAAUAAUGUACUUUAUAAAAAAUGUCUCAGUGGUUAGCGAGCCUACCUAUUACCAUGUGCUUAGGACGCCUUAGGAGGAUCUACUGUAAUUUGGAAAUUAUUAGCAGACCCAAGGAGAAUUUGAUAUAGAGGCGGAUUGUCAAAGUAAUUUUUGUAGCCAUAGUAAAUUUACUGCCAUCUUUCGACACAUGGUUAAAACUUUUAGUACACCAUUUGACUUUGUUCCUUGUUCUUUCACUAUUAAUAUGUAUUAAAUUGCCAUCAUUUCGAGCGAUGGCGCCAUACCUUUGGCCUAUGCUCGUGUAGAUGGCGACACAUUUUUAACAUUUAACACAUAUCAGUGAAAGAACAAGGAUCAAAGUCAAAUGGCGUACUAAAAGUAUUAAUCGUGUUCCGAAAGAUGGCAGUAAAUUUACUGUGGCUACAAAAAUUACUUUGACAAUCCGCCUCUAUAUCAAAUUCUCUUU